rnacentral:misc_RNA from 1 species
GAAAUGCGAUAAGUAGUGUGAAUUGCAGAAUUCAGUGAAUCAUCGAAUCUUUGAACGCACAUUGCGCCCCUCGGUAUUCCGUGGGGCAUGUCUGUUCGAGCGUCAUCUACACCCUCAAGCUCUGCUUGGUGUUGGGCGUCUGUCCCGCCUCCGCGCGCGGACUCGCCCCAAAUGCAUUGGCAGCGGUUCCUUGCCCCCCUCUUUGCGCAGCACAUUGCCAUUCGAGGCGGCGGCGGCCCGCGUCCAACAAGCUCAACCCCCCCGUCUUUGACCUCGGAUCAGGUAGGGAUACCCGCUGAACUUAAGC